rnacentral:tRNA from 1 species
GUCCCUGUAGCUCAGCGGAUAGAGUGCAUGCCUCCGGAGCAUGAAGCCCGGGUUCGAGUCCCGGCAGGGACG